rnacentral:rRNA from 1 species
CAGUAGCCACGGUAAUACGUAGGUGGCGAGCGUUGUCCGGAUUUAUUGGGCGUAAAGGGAGUGUAGGCGGUCUUUUAAGUCUGAUGUGAAAGCCCACGGCUCAACCGUGGAGGGUCAUUGGAAACUGGGAGACUUGAGUGCAGAAGAGGAGAGCGGAAUUCCAUGUGUAGCGGUGAAAUGCGUAGAUAUAUGGAGGAACACCAGUGGCGAAGGCGGCUCUCUGGUCUGUAACUGACGCUGGGGCUCGAAAGCGUGGGGAGCGAACAGGAUUAGAUACCCCUGUAGUCCCUGUCUCUUAUAC